UACAGAGGUCCCAAGCGUUGUUCGGAUUCAUUGGGCGUAAAGGGUGCGUAGGCGGCGCGGUAAGUCGGGUGUGAAAUCUCGGAGCUUAACUCCGAAACUGCAUUCGAUACUGCCGUGCUUGAGGACUGGAGAGGAGACUGGAAUUUACGGUGUAGCGGUGAAAUGCGUAGAUAUCGUAAGGAAGACCAGUGGCGAAGGCGGGUCUCUGGACAGUUCCUGACGCUGAGGCACGAAGGUCGGGGGAGCAAACGGG
rnacentral:rRNA from 1 species